rnacentral:lncRNA from 1 species
AUACUAGCUACUUGAAUUGCCACCUGUCCCAGUGUGAAAGAAAUAAAACCCAAAAUGAAAUUCUUUCUGCAGUAGGUAAAUGGAACCUUAGCCCUCAGAUGCUAGAUAACCACUGAGCCACAUCUGUAGUUCCCAAGUGACCCAGGCUUCAGGUGUCAGUUUAGUCUCUACUGAGUUACUGAACUGCCUCUCCAUUACUUAUUCCAUUUGAAUGGAAGAGUUGCCUUCUUCACCUACCUUCUCUCCUGCGCCUCCCUUCCUUUCUUUUUUCUUCCUCUGCUCCUUCUUUUAUGUAAGUGAACCUGUUUAGGGAAUGACUAGAAUAAAGUCCAUAGAGUUUUUCAAAAGUAAGUUUUUGUCCAUUGUUCUUCCCAAGUAUGAAUUGUAUAGUGCUUUGUUUCUAACAAAGGGAUCAGAAUUUGUAAUUUCUUUAAAAUAGCUGUUACUUUUUGUAAAAUAAAAUGUAAAAAAAAAAAAGGUCACAGUCUAGAUACAAUGAUAAGUAUAGUUAAGUGUAAUUUUGAGGAGUGUAGGAAAUUAUCUGAACCUGAUGCUGGCAGUGACCUUUAGCACAGGAGACAAAAACUAUAAGAAGAAAAUAAUAAUAAGUCUGUUUGCUUCUCCAACAAACAUUAACAUCAUAAUGAUGUUUAUAUAUAUGUAUAUACACACACACACUGUUUAUUUAUCCUGGGGGAAGGUCUCAUACCUCAGAUUCAACAUGCAUCCGAGCUUAGCCAUAAACUCCUUCUUUUCUUGCCUCCACCUCUCAAGUGCUGGGGUUACAUGGUAUGCCAGCAUGCCUGCCAAUAUUUGUUUGUUUUGGGCUUUGAGAGUAAAACAUAGGUAAAGAAAAGGACAGUUAAUUUGGGAAAUUAUAAUGGAAGUGCCAGAUUUUAGGUAACAUAAAUAUAAGGUAGAGCUGAUAGUAAUGGUGGUAUUCACCUGUAAUUUCAGUGUUUAGACAGCUGACACAGAAAGACAAGUCCUACACUACACAGGGAAACCAGUGAGGAGGAAGAAGGGGAGGAGUGGAAAAUAACAAGUGGGGAAAAGUAGAAAGGAUUACAGAGGCUACUAGACUUUCCUACAGAGCAGACAGAAUUCAGACACCAUCGGAAGGACUGUAGUUUUAAGUU